GCCAGGUAGAGGUCUACAACAGAUGUUACAGCCAGGUAGAGCCAGGUAGAGGCCUCCAACAGAUGUCACAGCCAGGUAGAGGCCUCCAACAUAUGUCACAGCCAGGUAGAGGCCUACAACAGAUGUCACAGCCAGGUAGAAGCCUACAACAGAUGUCACAGCCAGGUAGAGGCCUCCAACAAAUGUCACAGCCAGGUAGAGGCCUACAACAGAUGUCACAGCCAGGUAGAGGCCUACAACAGAUGUCACAGCCAGGUAGAGGCCUACAACAGAUGUCACAGCCAGGUAGAGGCCUCCAACAGAUGUCACAGCCAGGUAGAGGCCUACAAAAGAGUCACAGCCAGGUAGAGGCCUCCAUCAGAUGUCACAGCCAGGUAGAGGCCUCCAACAGAUGCCACAGCCAGGUAGAGACCUACAACAGAUGUCCCAGCCAGGUAGAG
ensembl:lncRNA